rnacentral:ncRNA from 1 species
GGAAUAUAGAGUAAAGGUGAAUUUUUAAUUCUUCAACAUGUUUUCCUUCUUCACUUAUGGUUGUUCUUAGUUUGUGGAACAAUUUUUCUCAUUGAUAUGUUAACAAAUGAGACCUCAUCCUGCUAACUAGCUACAUGGAGAUUCCCCUUCAUGACCAAGUUCUUAGAGGGGAUAUGGUCAUUUAAGCCAUGGAAGUUUGAGGCAAUAAUAGGUUUGUGAUGCCUUUAUAUGUUCUGAUCUACACACACACUACACCGAUGUAGUGAAAGAGUCACCAUUGAAGUUUGAGGCACUAAUAAGUCUGUGAUGCUCUUAUAUGUUCUAGGCUGCACACACGCUAUAGUGAUGUAGUGAAAGAAUUGUUCUCCCAGUUUGAGAGGACUACGGAAUAUUCUCAAAUUGUGUCUUGAUGGGGAUAUACCAUUGCCAUUAUUGAUCAUCAAUGAGGAAUUCCUUGUAAGAACAUGUCAGAAACUUAUGUU